UGCUAGUGUUACGGCGGCAUCAGUGUGCGC
rnacentral:piRNA from 1 species